rnacentral:rRNA from 1 species
GACGAACGCUGGCGGCGUGCUUAACACAUGCAAGUCGAACGGAAAGGCCCUGCUUUUGUGGGGUGCUCGAGUGGCGAACGGGUGAGUAACACGUGGGUAACCUGCCCUUGACUUUGGGAUAACUUCAGGAAACUGGGGCUAAUACCGGAUAGGAGCUCCUGCUGCAUGGUGGGGGUUGGAAAGUUUCGGCGGUUGGGGAUGGACUCGCGGCUUAUCAGCUUGUUGGUGGGGUAGUGGCUUACCAAGGCUUUGACGGGUAGCCGGCCUGAGAGGGUGACCGGCCACAUUGGGACUGAGAUACGGACCAGACUCCUACGGGAGGCAGCAGUGGGGAAUAUUGCACAAUGGGCGGAAGCCUGAUGCAGCAACGCCGUGUGCGGGAUGACGGCCUUCGGGUUGUAAACCGCUUUCGCCUGUGACGAAGCGUGAGUGACGGUAAUGGGUAAAGAAGCACCGGCUAACUACGUG